GACGAACGCUGGCGGCGUGCUUAACACAUGCAAGUCGAACGGAAAGGCCCUGCUUUUGUGGGGUGCUCGAGUGGCGAACGGGUGAGUAACACGUGAGUAACCUGCCCUUGACUUUGGGAUAACUUCUGGAAACUGGGGCUAAUACCGGAUAGGAGCUCCUGCUGCAUGGUGGGGGUUGGAAAGUUUCGGCGGUUGGGGAUGGACUCGCGGCUUAUCAGCUUGUUGGUGGGGUAGUGGCUUACCCAGGCUUUGACGGGUAGCCGGCCUGGGAGGGUGGCCGGCCACAUGGGGACUGAGAUACGGCGCAGACUGGUACGGGAGGCAGCAGGGGGGAAUAUUGCGCAAUGGGCGGAAGCCUGAUGCGAAGACGCCGCGUGCGGGAAGACGGCCUUCGGGGUGUAAACCGCUUUCGCCUGAGACGAAGCGUGAGUGACGGUAAUGGGUAAAGAAGCACCGGCUAACUACGUG
rnacentral:rRNA from 1 species